rnacentral:tRNA from 1 species
AGGUUUAAAGUUAAAAUUUACUAUUAAUCUUCAAAAUUAAAAAUAUAAAUUAAUAAAACUUA